UGGGGAAUAUUGCACAAUGGGGGAAACCCUGAUGCAGCGACGCCGCGUGAGCGAAGAAGGUUUUCGAAUCGUAAAGCUCUGUCCUAUGGGAAGAUAAUGACGGUACCAUAGGAGGAAGCCCCGGCUAACUUCGUGCCAGCAGCCGCGGUAAUACGAAGGGGGCUAGCGUUGUUCGGAUUUACUGGGCGUAAAGCGCACGUAGGCGGACUAUUAAGUCAGGGGUGAAAUCCCGGGGCUCAACCCCGGAACUGCCUUUGAUACUGGUAGUCUUGAGUUCGAGAGAGGUGAGUGGAAUUCCGAGUGUAGAGGUGAAAUUCGUAGAUAUUCGGAGGAACACCAGUGGCGAAGGCGGCUCACUGGCUCGAUACUGACGCUGAGGUGCGAAAGCGUGGGGAGCAAACAGG
rnacentral:rRNA from 1 species